rnacentral:rRNA from 1 species
AAAUUGAAACAACGCAACCGUACUAUCUAUUUACGAUAAUUUGAUUGCUGACAACACGACAACAUCACGCUUCUCUUUCUUAUUCUUAUUUAUAUAACUGUCACUUUACCGGGCCGGAAAAGUGACACCGUCACGUCUCAGGGUUGUAUGCCUGGAACAAGAAGGGUCGUCGUACAAUUUCGGCGAUUACAAAAAAGAAGGAGGCGAGAUCCCUAUCCCUCUUUGUAUACUUUCCUCGUUCAGGAACAAACACUUCGCCAAAUUCUUUUGAGUCCCGGCCCGGUUUUUCCCCACUAA